GAGUAGGUGGAGGGAUGGCUUUAUCGCUACCGUGAUUUACCUCUGUCUGAGCGGUACGGAGAGCGCGCGUGUGCUAAACGAGGUGUGAAGAACGCCAGCGUGAAUGAGGAAUGACACCGAGCAGCACACGCGAAGGGGAGAUGGCAGAUGACAUCGGCGCCGACGCCGCACGGUGCUGAAAGACAGAAGGCUGUGGGCGUUAUGAGAAAA